GCUGCCUGAGCCAGCAGUGGCAACCCGCUCGGGUCCCCUUCCACACUGUGGAAGCUUUGUUCUUUAGCUCUUUGCAAUAAAUCUUGCUGCUGCUCACUCUUUGGGUCCACACUGCCUUUACGAGCUGUAACACUCACCGCGAAGGUCUGCAGCUUCACUCCUGAAGCCAGUGAGACCACGAACCCACCAGGAGGAACAAACAACUCCAGAUGUGCUGCCUUAAGAGCUGUAACACUCACCGCGAAGGUCUGCAGCUUCAGUCCUAAGCCAGCAAGACCACGAACCCACCAGAAGGAAGAAACUCUGAACACAUCCAAACAUCAGAAGGAACAAACUCUGGACAUGCCGCCUUUAAGAACUGUGACACUCACCACGAGGGUCCGUGGCUUCAUUCUUGAAGUCAGUGAGACCAAGAACCCACCAAUUCCAGACACAUUUUGGCAACCACAAAGGGACUAUCACCUAUUGCCAAGCGGUGAGACUAUCGCCAAGUGGUGAGACCAUCGUCUAUCGCUGAGCAGCAAAACAAUCGCCUAUCGCCAAGCAGUGAGUACCAUCGGACCCCUUUCGCUUGCUAUUCUGUCCUAUUUUUCCUUAGAAUUUGGGGGCUAAAUACUGGGCAUCUGUCAGCCAGUUAAAAGUGACUAGCGCGGCCGCCGGACUAAAGACAUGGGUGUCAGGCUUUCUGAGAAAGGGCUCUCUAACAACCCCUGACUCUUCGGAGUUGGGAGCGUUGGUUUGCCUAAAACCAGCUUCCGCUUUUCCUGUACUUCUGGGCUGAGCCGAGGGUAGACAGAGAGGAAAGUAUGCAACUCCAGGGUCCUGACAACAAGUUGGUUGACCCUGGGGCCAUGAGCAGAACUCUCAAAGGCAUGUCGCCCAAGCGAGACUCGCCCAUCUAUCCUAUCUAUCCUGACUCUUGCCCCCUGGGUCCUAAUGCCUGCCAGACAAACUUCCUCUCACCUCUCUUCUCUGAGGUUAGUCCCACUUCUAAAAAUUGCUACCUGUCUCUGGUGCUUUUCUCAUUUCUCCUAUAAGAAUGAUUUCUAGUAUAAACUCCAGGACUCUGUUACCUUCUUUAGGCACCUGGGCUCCCCAAUCAGAAAGACAUAAUUUUUGCCCAAAGCCCGUCAUAGUGGGGACUACCUGGAAUUUUAGGAUCCCUCCUCAGACUAAUAGGCCUAACAAAAGCUAUUCCUGAAGCUAGGAUAUGGGGAGCCUCAGAAAUUGUAUCCUUCCUAUUCACAUAAGUGAGGACAAAAGGCGUCACUCUUCCAACCCUGGAGAUCCCUUCCCUCCCACAGGGUAUGGCCCUCCACUUCAUUUUUGGGGCAUAACAUCUUUAUAGGAGAGGGGUAAAGCCCCAGUACUAACAGGACAAUGCUUAGGACUCUAACAGGUUUUCAAGAAUGCGUCGGUAAGGGCCACUAAAUCCGAUUUUUCUUGGUCAGGCCUCCUUGUGGUCCAGGAGGACAUGCAAGCGUGCAGGUUUUCGAGAAUGCGUCAGUAAGGGACACUAAAUCUGACCUUCCUCGGUCCUCCAUGUGGUCUGGGAGGAAAACUAGCGUUUCUGCUGCUGCGUCGGUGAGGGCAACUAUUCCGAUCAGCAGGGUCCAGGGACUGUUGCGGGUUCUUGGACAGGGGUUGUUUCUGCUGCUGCGUCAGUGAGCGCAACUAUUCAGAUCAGCAGGGGCCAGGGACCAUUGAGGGUUCUUGGGCAGGGGGAGAAACAAAAAAAAAAACCAAAACUGCAGGCGGUUUUGUCUUUCAGAUGGGAAACACUCAGGCAUCAACAGGCUCACACUUGAAAUGCAUACUAAGCCACUGGGACCAAUUUGACCCACAAACCCUGAAGAAGAGGUGGCUCAUUUUUUCCUGCACUACGGCUUGGCCCCAAUAUUCUCUCUCUGAUGGGGAAAAAUGGCCACCUAAGGGAAGUACAAAUUACAAUACUAUCCUGCAGCUUGACCUUUUCUGUAAGAGGGAAAGCAAAUGGAGUGAAAUACCUUAUGUCCAAGCUUUCUUUUCAUUGAGGGAGAAUACACAACUAUGCAAAGCUUACAAUUUACAUCCCACAGGAGGACCUCUCAGCUUACCCCCAUAUCCUAGCCUCCCUAUAGCUCCCCUUCCUAUUAAUGAUAAGCCUCCUCUAAUCUCCCCUGCCCAGAAGGAAAUAAGCAAAGAAAUCUCCAAAGGACCACAAAAACCCCUGGGCUAUUGGUUAUGGCCCCUUCAAGCUGUACAGGGAGGGGAAUUUGGCCCAACCCGGGUACAUGUCCCCUUCUCCCUCUCUGAUUUAAAACAGAUCAAGGCAGACCUGGGGAAGUUUUCAGAUGAUCCUGAUAGGUACAUAGAUGUCCUACAGGGUCUAGGGCAAACCUUUGACCUCACUUGGAGAGAUGUCAUGCUACUGUUAGAUCAAACCCUGGCCUUUAAUGAAAAGAAUGCGGCUUUAGCUGCAGACUGAGAGUUUGGAGAUACCUGGUAUCUUAAGUCAGUAAAUGAUAGAAUGACAGCUGAAGAAAGGGACAAAUUCCCUACCAGUCAGCAAGCCAUCCCCACUAUGGAUCCCCACUGGGACCUUGAUGCAGAUCAUGGGGACUGGAGUCGUAAACAUCUGUUGACCUGUGUUCUAGAAGGACCAAGGAGAAUUAGAAAAAAGCCCAUGAAUUAUUCAGUGAUGUCCACCAUAACUCAGGGAAAGGAAGAAAAUCUUUCUGCCUUCCUCAAGCGGCUACGAGAGGCCUUAAGAAAAUAUACUCCCCUGUCACCCGAAUCACUUGAGGGUCAAUUGAUUCUAAAAGAUAAGUUUAUUACCCAAUCAGCCACAGAUAUCAGGAGAAAGCUCCAAAAGCAAGCCCUGGGUCCUGAACAAAACCUAGAGGCAUUAUUAAACCUGGCAACCUCAGUGUUUUAUAAUAGGGACCAAGAGGAACAGGCCCAAAAGGAAAAGCGAGAUCAGAGAAAGGCCGCAGCCUUAGUCAUGGCCCUCAGACCAACAAACCUUGGUGGUUCAGAGAGGACAGAAAAUGGAGCAGGCCAAACACCCGGUAAGACUUGUUACCAGUAUGGUUUACUAGGACACUUUAAAAAAGAUUGUCCAAUGAGAAACAAGCUGCCCCCUCAUCCAUGUCCACUAUGCCAAGGCAAUCACUGGAAGGUGCACUGCCCCAGAGGAUGAAGGUUCUCUGGGUCAGAAGCCCCCAACCAGAUGAUCCAACAAUAGGACUGAGGGUGCCCGGGGCAAGCGCCAGCUCAUGUCAUCACCCUCACUGAGCCCCUGAUAUGUUUAACUAUUGAGGGCCAGGAAAUUGACUUCCUCCUGGACACUGGCGUGGCCUUCUCAGUGUUAAUCUCCUGUCCUGGACGACUGUCCUCAAGGUCCGUUACCAUCUGAGGAAUCCUGGGACAGCCUGUAACCAGGUAUUUCUCCCACCUCCUCAGCUGUAAUUGGGAGACUUUGCUCUUUUCACGUGCCUUUCUAGUUAUGCCUGAAAUUCCCACACCCUUAUUAGGGAGGGAUAUAUUAGCCAAGGCUGGAGCUAUUAUCUACAUGAAUAUGGGGAACAAGUUACCCAUUUGUUGUCCCCUACUUGAGGAGGGAAUCAACCCCGAAGUCUGGGCAUUGGAAGGACAAUUUGGAAGGGCAAGAAAUGCCUGCCCAAUCCAAAUCAGGUUAAAAGAUCCCACCACUUUUCCUUAUCAAAGGCAAUAUCCCUUAAGGCCUGAAGCUCAUAAAGGAUUACAGAAUAUUGUUAAACAUUUAAAAGCUCAAGGCUUAGGAAGGAAAUACAGCAGUCGCUGCAACAUCCCAAUUCUAGGAGUACAAAAACCAAAUGGUCAGUGGAGACUAGUGCAAGAUCUUAGACUCGUCAAUGAGGCAGUAAUUCCUCUAUAUCCAGUUGUACCCAACCCCCUAUACCCUGCUCUCUCAAAUACCAGAGGAAGCAGAAUGGUUCACGGUUCUGGACCUCAGGGAUGACUUCUUCUGUAUUCCCCUGCACUCUGACUCCCAGUUCCUCUUUGCCUUUGAGGAUCCCACAGACCACAUGUCCCAACUUACGUGGAUGGUCUUGCCCCAAGGGUUUAGGGAUAGCCCUCAUCUGUUUGGUCAGGCACUGGCCCAAGAUCUAGGCCACUUCUCAAGUCCAGGCACUCUGGUCCUUCAAUAUGUGGAUGAUUUACUUUUGGCUACCAGUUCGGAAGCCUCGUGCCAGCAGGCUACUCUAGAUCUCUUGAACUUUCUAGCUAAUCAAGGGUACAAGGUGUCUAGGUCGAAGGCCCAGCUUUGCCUAUAUCAGGUCAAAUAUCUAGGCCUAGUCUUAGCCAGAGGGACCAGGACCCUCAGCAAGGAAUAAAUACAGCCUAUACUGGCUUAUCCUUGCCCUAAAACAUUAAAACAGUUGCGGGGGUUCUUUGGAAUUACCUGCUUUUGCCGAGUAUGGAUCCCUGGAUGCAGGGAGAUAGCCAGGCCCCUGUAUACUCUAAUCAAGGAAACCCAGAAGGCAAAUACUCAUCUAGUAGAAUGGGAACCAGAGGCAGAAACAGCCUUUAAAACCUUAAAGCAGGCCCUAGUACGAGCUCCAGCUUUAAGCCUUCCCACAGGACAAAACUUCUCUUUAUACGUCACAGAGAGAGCUGGGAUAGCUCUUGGAGUCCUUACUCAGACUCACGGUACAACCCCACAACCAGUGGCAUACCUAAGUAAGGAAAUUGACAUGGUAGCAAAAGGCUGGCCUCACUGUUUAAGGGUAGUUGCAGCAGUGGCCAUCUUAGUGUCAGAGGCUAUCAAAAUAAUACAAGGAAAGGAUCUCACUGUCUGGACUACUCAUGAUGUAAAUGGCCUACUAGGUGCCAAAGGAAGUUAUGGCUAUCAGACAACUGCCUACUUAGAUACCAGGCGCUACUCCUUAAGGGACCGGUGCUUCAAAUAUGCAUAUGCGUGGCCCUCAACCCUGCCACUUUUCUCCCAGAGGAUGGGGAACCAAUCGAGCAUGACUGCCAACAAAUUAUAGUCCAAACUUCUGCCACCUGAGAUGAUCUCUUAGCAUUCCCCUUAACUAAUCCUGACCUUAACCUAUAUACUGAUGGAAGUUAAUUUGUGGAGAAUGGGAUAUGAAGGGCAGGUUACGCCAUAGUUAGUGAGGUAACCAUACUUGAAAGUAAGCCUCUUCCCCCAGGGACCAGUGCCCAGUUAGCAGAACUAGUGGCACUUACCCGAGCCUUAGAACUGGGAAAGGGAAAAAGAAUAAAUGUGUAUACAGAUAGCAAGUAUGCUUAUCUAAUCCUACAUGCCCAUGCUGCAAUAUGGAAAGACAGGGAGUUCCUAACCUCUGGGUGAACCCCCAUUAAAUACCACAAGGAAAUUAUAGGGUUAUUGCACACAGUGCAAAAACCCAAAGAGGUGGGAGUCUUACACUGCCAAAGCCAUCAAAAUGGGAAGGAGAGGGGAGAACAGCAGCAUAAGCAGCUGGCAGAGGCAGCAAGGAAAGAGAGAAAGAGACAGGAAGUCAAAGAAAGAGACAGAGAAGAAGAGACAGAGAGACAGAAACAGAGAGACAGAAACAGAGAGUCAAAGAGAAGGAGACAGAAAAAGAAACAGAGAGGAAGAAACAGAGAGUUGAAGAGAAAGAGACGAAGAGAAGGAGUCAGAGAGAAAGAGGGACAGACACAGAAAGUCAGAGAGUCAGAAAGAGAGGAAGAGACAAAGAAGAAGUCAAAGAGAAAGAGAGAUGGAAGUAGUAAAGAAAAAACAGUGUAUCCCAUUCCUUUAAAAGCCAGGGUAAAUUUCUGUCUACCCAGCCAAGGCAUAUUUUUCUUAUGUGGAACAUCGACCUAUAUCUGCCUCUCCACUAACUGGACAGACACCUGCACCUUAGUCUUUCUAAGUCCCAACAUUAACAUUGCCCCAGGAAAUCAGACCUUAUCAGUACCCCUCAAAGCUCAAGUCCAUCAGUGCAGAGCCAUACAACUAAUACACCUACUUAUAGGGUUAGGAAUGGCUACUGCUACAGGAACUGGAAUAGCCAGUUUAUCUGCUUCAUUAUCCUACUACCACACACUCUCAAAGGAUUUCUCAGACAGUUUGCAAGAAAUAACGAAAUCUAUUCUUACUUUACAAUCCCAAAUAGACUCUUUGGCAGCAGUGACUCUACAAAACUGCCGAUGCCUAGACCUCCUCACUGCUGAGAAAGGAGGACUCUGCACCUUCUUAGGGGAAGAGUGUUGUUUUUACACUAACCAGUCGGGGAUGGUAUGAGAUGCCACCCGACAUUUACAGGAAAAGGCUUCUGAAAUCAGACCACACCUUUCAAACUCUUAUACCAACCUCUGGAGUUGGGCAACAUGGUUUCUCCCCUUUCUAGGUCCCGUGGCAGCCAUCUUGCUGUUACUUGCCUUUGGGCCCUGUAUUUUUAACCUUCUUGUCAAAUUUGUUUCCUCUAGAAUCGAAGCCAUCAAGCUACAGAUGGUCUUACAAAUGGAACCCCAAAUGAGUUCAACUAACAACUUCUACCGAGGACCCCUGGACCGACCCGCUGGCACUUCCACUGGCCUAGAGAGUUCCCCCUUGGAGGACACUACAACUGCAGGGCCCCUUCUUCACUUCUAUCCAGCAGGAAGUAGCUAGAGCAGUCAUCGGCCAAAUUCCCAACAGCAGUUGGGGUGUCCUGUUUAGAGGGGGGAUUGAGAGGUGGCAGUGUGCUGGCAGCCCUCGCAGCCCUCGCUCACUCUUGGCUCCUCCUCGGCCUUGGCGCCCACUCUGGCCAUGCUUAAGGAGCCCUUCAGCCUGCCACUGCACUGUGGGAACACUGGCCAAGGCCAGAGCCAGCUCACUCAGCUUGUGGGGAAGUGUGGAGGGAGAGGCGCAGGCGGGAACUGGGGCUGCAUGCGGCGCUUGCGGGCCAGCGUGAGUUCCGGGUGGUUGUGGGCUUGGCGGGCCCCAGACUCGGAGCGGCUGGCCUGCCCUGCUGGCCCCAGGCAGUGAGGGGCUUAGCACCCAGGCCAGCAGCUGUGGAUGGUGCGCUGAGUCUCCCAGCAGUGCUGGCCCACCCCACCAGCACUGCACUCGAUUUCUCGCCAGGCCUUAGCUGCCUCCCCGCAGGGCAGGCCUUGGGACCUGCAGCCCACCAUGCCUGAGUCUCCCCUGCUGCCGCCGUGGGCUCCUGCGUGGCCCAAGCCUCCCCGACGAGCACUGCCCCCUGCUCCCCGGUGCCUGGUCCCAUCGACCGCCCAAGGGCUGAGGAGUGCAGGUGCAUGGUGCGGGACUGGCAGGCAGCUCCACCUGCGGCCCCAGUGCAGGAAGCCAGCUGGGCUCCUGAGUCUGGUGGGGACUUGGAGAAUUUUUAUGUCUAGCUAAGGGAUUGUAAAUACACCAAUCAGCACUCUGUAUCUAGCUCAAGGAUUGUAAAUACACCAAUCAGCACCCUGUGUCUAGCUCAGGGUUUGUCAAUGCACCAAUCGGCACUCUGUAUCUAGUUAAUCUGGUGGGGAGUUGGAGAAUCUUUAUGUCUAGCUAAGGGAUUGUAAAUACACCAAUCAGCACUCUGUAUCUAGCUCAAGGUUUGUAAACACACCAAUCAGAACCCUGUGUCUAGCUCAGGGUUUGUGAAUGCACCAAUCAGCACUCUGUAUCUAGUUAAUCUGGUGGGGACUUGGAGAAUCUUUAUGUCUAGCUAAGGGAUUGUGAAUGCACCAAUCGGCACUCUGUAUCUAGCUCAAGGUUUGUAAAUGGACCAAUCAGCACUCUAUGUCUAGCUCAGUGUUUGUAAAUACACCAAUCGACACUCUAUCUAGCUAAUCUAGUGGGGACGUGGAGAACUUUUGUGUCUAACUCAGGGAUUGUAAAUGCACCAAUCAGAACCCUGUCAAAAUGGACCAAUAGCUCUCUGUAAAACAGACUGACUUUCUGUAAAAUGGACCAAUCAGCAGGAUGUGGGUGGGGCCAGAUAAGAGAAGAAAAGCAGGCUGCCUGAGCCAGCAGUGGCAACCCGCUUGGGUCCCCUUCCACACUGUGGAAGCUUUGUUCUUUCGCUCUUUGCAAUAAAUCUUGCUGCUGCUCACUCUUUGGGUCCACACUGCCUUUAUGAGCUGUAACACUCACCGCGAAGGUCUGCAGCUUCACUCCUGAAGCCAGCGAGACCACGAACCCACCAGGAGGAACAAACAACUCCAGAUGCGCUGCCUUAAGAGCUGUAACACCGCGAAGGUCUGCAGCUUCACUCCUGAGCCAGCAAGACCACAAACCCACCAGAAGGAAGAAACUCAGGAAAACAGCCGAACAUCAGAAGGAAUAAACUCUGGACACACCACCUUUAAGAACUGUGACACUCGCUGCGAGCGUCUGUGGCUUCAUUCUUGAAGUCAGUGAGACCAAGAACCCACCAAUUCUGGACACAAUUGCACUCUAGCCUGGGCAACAAGAGUGAAACUCCAUCUCGAAAAAAAAAAAAAAAGAGUCUGGAAGGGCCCUUCUGAGUUGUAAUAUUAUGAACUUAAAUUUUGAGGUCCUGAAGUUUUGUUGCAGUGUGAAUGAUAAGAGUAGUCUUUUUUUGAUAUCAUCUGUAGAAGACCCAAUUUUGGGGUUUCAGAUUAGGAAGGGUUUGAUGGUUUUUAGUGGACUAUGAAAAGGUUUUUUUUGGUGAAAAUAUAUUUUGGUAUAAUGUACUAAAGUCUUGUAGUAUUUAGUCAUAAUAGAGUUUAACAGUGGAAGCUAUAUGAAGUUUGUCUUGUUUUUUUUUGUUUGUUUGUUUGUUUGUUUUUGAGACAGAGUCUCACUCUGUCACCCAGGCUGGAGUGCAGUGGUGCGAUCUCGGCUCACUGCAAGCUCCGCCUCCUGGGUUCACGCCAUUCUCCUGCCUCAGCCUCCCGAGUAGCUGGGACUGCAGGUGCCACCACCACGCCCGGCUAAUUUUUUGUAUUUUUUAGUAGAAACGGGGUUUCACCGUGUUAGCCAGGAUGGUCUGGAUCUCCUGACCUCAUGAUCUGCCCACCUUGGCCUCCCAAAGUGCUGGGAUUACAGGUGUGACCCACUGCUCCCAGUCAUGAAAUUUUAUUAUUAGGAACAUGGGCCUUUUAGUUACUGUUGUUUACGGGGCCAUUCAUUUUUUAUUUUUUUUGAGACAGGGUUACAUUCUGUCACUCAGGCUGGAGUGCAGUGGCGCAACAUAGCUGACUGCUCAAACAAUCCUGCCUCAGCCUCCCAAGUAGCUGGGACACGAAACCAUGCCCAGCUAUUUAAAAAUUUUUUUUGUAGUGAUGGGGUCUCACUAUGUUGUCCAAGGUGCUCUCAAACUCCUGAUCUCAAGUGAUCCUCUCACCUUGGCUUCUCAAAGUGAUAUGAUUAUAGACAUAAGCCACUGUGCAUGGCCAUACAUUUUUUAAAUAAAAGGGUUUUAAAAUAGUUAAAUGUCAGAAAGGUGUAUUUUGGAGACUGGUUUGGUUUAAUAGGUGGUGUUUUUAACUUCGUUAUUGUUUUUUAGCUAAAAUUAUUGAGUUUAGAGUGGAAAGGAAUAGGGCAAAUAAAGUAUUCUCUAUGUCUGGUCUAAAUAUGGAUAGGUCUGAAAAAAAGGG
rnacentral:lncRNA from 1 species